CUGCUUCAUAAGAGAGACACGCACAGAGAGCAGAGGGUGUCCCACACUGAUGAGCAAUCCUAUUUCAGUGUGAUCUGAACUUGGGCUUGCUGUGAGACUACUGAAGCUUUAGAAGGAUGCCAGUGGACAAACCUGCUCUUAAACAGCUCUUAGACAAGUGAUAGAACAGCAGUUUAAGUUGAACCUGCCAGUGGAGAUGACAAUCCUCAAGAAACCGCAUCAGGCCAGCAGCCUGCCAGCUGCAGCAGAUGACAGCUCCCCCUCAGAAUCAGGACGCUGCUAUGUGUCUUCAGAUGAAGGAGAAGGAGGCGCGGAGGAAACACACCAGGUAGGAGCACCACACACACACACACACACACACACACACACACACACACACACACACAUGUUAGUCUUUCUCUAAUAGUGAGGACCUUGGUUGACAUAAUUCAUUCCCUAGCUCCUAACCUGAUAGUAGCCUUAACCAUCACAAUGACCUAAAUGUAAUUCUAACCUUCAAACAGUCCUUUGAAGUAGUGAGGGCAAGCCAAAACGAAUGUCCUCACUAUAAUGGUUAAAACUGUCACUAGUCCUCACAAAGAUAGCAAUAAAAUACCACACACACACACACACACAUACACACACACACACGUGUAGUAUGUGACUUUUUCCUCUGUAGUGAUGGCUCUAAACCAGCUGAUACGACUGUGUGUCUGUUAGUAGCUCAUGGUACAACGAGGCAGUCACAUGUUGUGCUCUUGGAUCCGUUCCCUCCUGUCUAUAUAGCAUUACAGUAAGGUCUUGGCUGCUGACUGGUGAGUCUGACAGGGUUGAAGAGGUUAAUGGUAAUGCAACAAAGUGUCAUAUAGAUCCAGCUAAUAAAAUAUGUGUUGUAACGCCCCAUGUCCUGCUGAAGACGGGAACGGACAUGAGAAAGUGUAUGGAGGGAGGAGAGGAGGAAAUGCUGUAUUUAUUUACAGAGCAGUCAAAAGUCUUGGGGGCACUGGGUUAGGAGGACUUUCACAUAACCCCUUACACACACACACUAACACCAGACCCCCUCUGGGAGCAAGAGACGCUGAUUCCCAGGGUCAAUUUCACAUGGGAGGGGAAGGGGGAGGGGGGAGGGGGAGAGGGGGAGAGGCUUAUGGAAGGUGAGAGAAGGGGAAGGAGAGGACGUAGAAACAGAGAUGGAGAGAGAACCUCAGUCUUUGUUCUUCAUCUGAAUGACUCUAAUCUCACUGUCUUUAUGUUGACAUCUGAUAUCUGUAAAGAUUGAGUGUCACUAUGAGCUUCCUGCUUUCACUAUAUGCAGAAUGCACACACUAUCUCCAAUCAUUCAAUUCAUCUGAAAUUCCGAUUCAUUGACAGUUCAUUGACAGUUCAUUGACAGUUCAGCUAACAUGUCACCUGCGUUCAGCUCUCACUCUUGGCCUGUGCUUUUCACUGAAAACAAAUGAACAAUUGAACUGCCAACGCUUUAAUUGAUGCCUCGGCUUCUUUCACGGUUCACACUUCAGCUGACACUAGUUCAGUGCUGCAACUUAAAGUGCAACCCCCAUACAGUAUUUCACAGGCAAGAUUUGAAGAAUUUAAAGCUGUUCAUAGUGUCUGAUCCUGCAGUGUUCAGUGUGAUCUAGUUAUCUUCUUCAAUUCAAACAAAUACAGGACUUUCACCCAGGGGACCUGCUGUUUGUGUCCCGUGUGAAACCAAAAGUCAACGAUGAAUUAUUUUGACAUCAUGUUAAUGUGAGUGUUACUUUGUGACUUAAAUAACAUAGAGACAUAAACAUACUC